rnacentral:rRNA from 1 species
GCCCACUCCUGGCGACGUACGGUGGUAUUACGGUGGGUGCGAGCGUUGGCCGGACUUGCGGGUGGUAAAGCGCUCGUAGGCGGUUGGUGACGUCGUCUGUGAAAGCCUGCAACUCAAGUGUAGGCGUGCAGGCGAUACGGGCAUACUUGAGUACUACAGGGGAGACUGGAAUUCCUGGUGUAGCGGUGAAAUGCGCAGAUAUCAGGAGGAACACCGGUGGCGAAGGCGGGUCUCUGGGUAGUAACUGACGCUGAGGAGCGAAAGCGUGGGGAGCGAACAGGAUUAGAUACCCGGGUAGUC